rnacentral:rRNA from 1 species
UACGGAGGGGGCUAGCGUUGUUCGGAAUUACUGGGCGUAAAGCGCACGUAGGCGGCGCGACAAGUCAGGGGUAAAAGGCCUGGGCUCAACCUGGGAACUGCCUUUGAUACUGGCGUGCUUGAGUCCGGAAGAGGGUGGCGGAAUUCCCAGUGUAGAGGUGAAAUUCGUAGAUAUUGGGAAGAACACCGAUGGCGAAGGCACUUUACUGGGCUAUUACUAACACUCAGAGACGAAAGCUAGGGUAGCAAAUGGG